rnacentral:rRNA from 1 species
CAUUCCUACGGGGCGCAGCAGUGAGGAAUAUUGGUCAAUGGGCGGGAGCCUGAACCAGCCAAGUCGCGUGAGGGACGACGGUCCUAUGGAUUGUAAAACUCUUUUGUCGGGGAACAAAGGCGCCCACGGGUGGGCGGAUGAGUGUACCCGAAGAAAAAGCAUCGGCUAACUCCGUGCCAGCAGCCGCGGUAAUACGGAGGAUGCGAGCGUUAUCCGGAUUUUUUGGGUUUUAAGGGUGCGUAGGCGGGCGGUCAAGU